rnacentral:rRNA from 1 species
GACGAACGCUGGCGGCGUGCUUAACACAUGCAGGUCGAACGGAAAGGCCCUGCUUUUGUGGGGUGCUCGAGUGGCGAACGGGUGAGUAACACGUGAGUAACCUGCCCUUGACUUUGGGAUAACUCCAGGAAACUGGGGCUAAUACCGGAUAGGAGCUCCUGCUGCAUGGUGGGGGUUGGAAAGUUUCGGCGGUUGGGGAUGGACUCGCGGCUUAUCAGCUUGUUGGUGGGGUAGUGGCUUACCAAGGCUUUGACGGGUAGCCGGCCUGAGAGGGUGACCGGCCACAUUGGGACUGAGAUACGGCCCAGACUCCUACGGGAGGCAGCAGUGGGGAAUAUUGCACAAUGGGCGGAAGCCUGAUGCAGCAACGCCGCGUGCGGGAUGACGGCCUUCGGGUUGUAAACCGCUUUCGCCUGUGACGAAGCGUGAGUGACGGUAAUGGGUAAAGAAGCACCGGCUAACUACGUG